AUACACAUGAUGGAGGCGUGUUAACACGUAGAGAAAUACACAUGUUGGAGGCGUGUUAACACGUAGAGAAAUACACAUGUUGGAGGCGUGUUAACACGUAGAGAAAUACACAUGAUGGAGGCGUGUUAACACGUAGAGAAAUACACAUGAUGGAGGCGUGUUAACACGUAGAGAAAUACACAUGAUGGAGGCGUGUUAACACGUAGAGAAAUACACAUGAUGGAUGCGUGUUAACACGUAGAGAAAUACACAUGUUGGAGGCGUGUUAACACGUAGAGAAAUACACAUGAUGGAGGCGUGUUAACACGUAGAGAAAUACACAUGUUGGAGGCGUGUUAACACGUAGAGAAAUACACAUGUUGGAGGCGUGUUAACACGUAGAGAAAUACACAUGUUGGAGGCGUGUUAACACGUAGAGAAAUACACAUGUUGGAGGCGUGUUAACACGUAGAGAAAUACACAUGAUGGAGGCGUGUUAACACGUAGAGAAAUACACAUGAUGGAGGCGUGUUAACACGUAGAGAAAUACACAUGUUGGAGGCGUGUUAACACGUAGAGAAAUACACAUGUUGGAGGCGUGUU